rnacentral:rRNA from 1 species
AACGAACGCUGGCGGCAUGCCUAACACAUGCAAGUCAAACGAGACCUUCGGGUCUAGUGGCGCACGGGUGCGUAACGCGUGGGAACCUGCCCUUAGGUUCGGAAUAACUCCCCGAAAGGGGUGCUAAUACCGGAUAAUGUCUUCGGACCAAAGAUUUAUCGCCUUUGGAUGGGCCCGCGUUGGAUUAGCUAGUUGGUAGGGUAAAAGCCUACCAAGGCGACGAUCCAUAGCUGGUCUGAGAGGAUGAUCAGCCACACUGGGACUGAGACACGGCCCAGACUCCUACGGGAAGCAGCAGUGGAGAAUAUUGGACAAUGGGCGAAAGCCUGAUCCAGCAAUGCCGCGUGAGUGAUGAAGGCCUUAGGGUUGUAAAGCUCUUUUACCCGGGAUGAUAAUGACAGUACCGGGAGAAUAAGCUCCGGCUAACUCCGUG